GGAAGACGGCCCUAUGGGUUGUAAACUGCUUUUACAGAGGAAGAAACACCCCGACGUGUCGGAGCUUGACGGUACUGUGCGAAUAAGGAUCGGCUAACUCCGUGCCAGCAGCCGCGGUAAUACGGAGGAUCCAAGCGUUAUCCGGAAUCAUUGGGUUUAAAGGGUCCGUAGGCGGGACAAUCAGUCAGCGGUGAAAGUCUGUGGCUCAACCAUAGAAUUGCCAUUGAUACUGUUGUUCUUGAAUGCUUAUGAAGUGGUUGGAAUAUGUAGUGUAGCGGUGAAAUGCAUAGAUAUUACAUAGAACACCGAUUGCGAAGGCAGAUCACUAAUAAUAUACUGACGCUGAUGGACGAAAGCGUAGGUAGCGAACAGGAUUAGAUACCCUGGUAG
rnacentral:rRNA from 1 species